AUCUAGGGGAGCUUGGUAUAACCUUGCUGAGAGUAGACUGUAUGUCUUGACCCAUAACCUGAUUUGGAUAAUGCCAACGUAGGGAAUUUUUGUCAU
rnacentral:ncRNA from 1 species